rnacentral:rRNA from 1 species
GGGAAGACGCUGGCGGCGUGCCUACUACAUGCAUGUCGAGCGGACAGAUGGGAGCUUGCUCCCUGAUGUUAGCGGCGGACGGGUGAGUAACACGUGGGUAACCUGCCUGUAAGACUGGGAUAACUCCGGGAAACCGGGGCUAAUACCGGAUGGUUGUCUGAACCGCAUGGUUCAGACAUAAAAGGUGGCUUCGGCUACCACUUACAGAUGGACCCGCGGCGCAUUAGCUAGUUGGUGAGGUAACGGCUCACCAAGGCGACGAUGCGUAGCCGACCUGAGAGGGUGAUCGGCCACACUGGGACUGAGACACGGCCCAGACUCCUACGGGAGGCAGCAGUAGGGAAUCUUCCGCAAUGGACGAAAGUCUGACGGAGCAACGCCGCGUGAGUGAUGAAGGUUUUCGGAUCGUAAAGCUCUGUUGUUAGGGAAGAACAAGUGCCGUUCAAAUAGGGCGGCACCUUGACGGUACCUAACCAGAAAGCCACGGCUAACUACGUGCCAGCAGCCGCGGUAAUACGUAGGUGGCAAGCGUUGUCCGGAAUUAUUGGGCGUAAAGGGCUCGCAGGCGGUUUCUUAAGUCUGAUGUGAAAGCCCCGGCUCAACCGGGGAGGGUCAUUGAAACUGGGGAACUUGAUGCAAAAAAGGAAAGUGAAUUCCCGUGUAGCGGUGAAUGCGAAAGAUGUGGAAGAACCCGUGGCCAAGGCAAUUCUUGGUUGUAACUGACCUGAAGACGAACGUGGGGAGAAAGGAUAGAUCG